UGGGAUGACGUCAAGUCCUCAUUGGCCCUUAUGACCAGGGCUACACACGUGCUACAAUGGCCGGUACAAAGAGUUGCGAUACCGUGAGGUGGAGCCAAUCUCAUAAAGCCGGUCUCAGUUCGGAUUGGAGUCUGCAACUCGACUCCAUGAAGUUGGAAUCGCUAGUAAUCGCGGAUCAGCAUGCCGCGGUGAAUACGUUCCCGGGCCUU
rnacentral:rRNA from 1 species